UCUCCGUAGGUGAACCUGCGGAGGGAUCCUUACUGAGUGAGGGUCUCCGGGCCCGACCUCCAACCCUUUGUGAAUCGUACUCGUUGCUUCGGGGGCGACCCUGCCGUUUCGACGGCGAGCGCCCCCGGGGUCAAUCAAACACUGCAUUCUCUGCGUCGGAGUAUUAGUAAAUCUAAUCAAAACUUUCAACAACGGAUCUCUUGGUUCUGGCAUCGAUGAAGAACGCAGC
rnacentral:misc_RNA from 1 species